CGUGCAAGGUAGCGUAAUCACUUGUCUUUUAAUUAAGGACCCGUAUGAAUGACAAAACGAGGGCUCAACUGUCUCCUUCUUUUAGUCAAUGAAAUUGAUCUCCCCGUGCAGAAGCGGGGAUUCAUUCAUAAGACGAGAAGACCCUAUGAAGCUUUAGACAAUCGGACAUACCCUGUUAAUACACCCCCAUAAAAGGGCCAAAACCUACCCACCCAUGUCCCCGUCUUAGGUUGGGGCGACCCCGGGGAACAAAAACCCCCCACGUGGAAUAGUAGCAUCCGCUAUCCACAACCGAGAGCCACAACUCCAAAAACCAGAACCUCUGACCACAAAUAUGACCCGGCAAUGCCGAUCAACGAACCAAGUUACUCUAGGGAUAACAGCGCAAUCCCCUUUUUAGAGGCCGCAUCAACAAGGGGGUUUACGACCUCGAUGUUGGAUCAGGACAUCCUA
rnacentral:rRNA from 1 species